UUUUCUUCGAACCUCUUCCCUUCAUCGCAGCCCUCUCUCUCUCUCUCUCUGUCUCUUCUCUCUUCCUUUCUCUCAUCAGCUGCGAACGUUUCGUUCGCUCAGAAAACCCAAUUCCAUCGUCUUUUUCUCACUGUGAGAACCGAAGAUCUCAGUUUCAGCUGUGUUGGGGCCUCAAUUGGUGGCUAUGGGUGUGGCCGUGAAGAACCCUUCUGCGACGGCAUCGUUUGGGGUCCCAAAGACAUCCCCAUGGCGCGGCUCAGUUGGUGGAGGGUUUGAGUAUGAGGAAAAAGGCAACAGGUAUUUCAUGAGGAAGCUGAAGAAGGUCAAGAAGAGCAAUGGUCAAGUGCUUUCCAUUAAUGAGUCAAUGUUUUUUUGCGGUGGAGAAGUGGUUCCUUCUCAACUCUCCUCCUGGUGAAAUCCAAUUUGUUGCCAAUGGUCUCCACCUUUGACCCCAAAGCGUCACUCUUUUAUCACAUUUAUUUCGCUUUUUUCUAAUUUUGUUUCGAUCAGUUGAAUCGUAAUUUGUAUUUGAUGUUUGCCUUUGGUGGCAGAUGUGAAGGAGGCUGCGUCAGAGGCAUCCUCUCGAAUAUUAUGAAAACCUAUCAGCAUAUCCACACCUUCUUUUACACCUUAUUUCUCUGCACAUUCCUCUCAAAAACUUAAAUGCUUUAUGCUCCACCAUAGCCUUUGGUAGUUUUCUCUUCUUUCACUUGGUUCCAUUUUAAGUUUUAACUUUUUAAAAAAAUCUUUAUUCUAAAUUU